rnacentral:rRNA from 1 species
AGUGAACGCUGGCGGUAGGCCUAACACAUGCAAGUCGAGCGGCAGCACAGUAAGAGCUUGCUCUUACGGGUGGCGAGUGGCGGACGGGUGAGGAAUACAUCGGAAUCUACUUUUUCGUGGGGGAUAACGUAGGGAAACUUACGCUAAUACCGCAUACGACCUACGGGUGAAAGCAGGGGAUCUUCGGACCUUGCGCGAUUGAAUGAGCCGAUGUCGGAUUCGCUAGUUGGCGGGGUAAAGGCCCACCAAGGCGACGAUCCGUAGCUGGUCUGAGAGGAUGAUCAGCCACACUGGAACUGAGACACGGUCCAGACUCCUACGGGAGGCAGCAGUGGGGAAUAUUGGACAAUGGGCGCAAGCCUGAUCCAGCCAUACCGCGUGGGUGAAGAAGGCCUUCGGGUUGUAAAGCCCUUUUGUUGGGAAAGAAAAGCAGCAGGUUAAUACCCCGCUGUUCUGACGGUACCCAAAGAAUAAGCACCGGCUAACUUCGUG